GCGGGGGUGGUGGCGUCAGCCAAUGGAGAGGAGGUUCCUAAUGAAGUAUUGAUUAUGGAGUCCUUCAGACUGGGCUGUGUCUCCAGCCCGGAGGCUCAGGCGCGUCUUCCGCGGUCUACGGUUUGGUCCCCCGGGCCUCACCUCUGGCCAGGUGGCGUCGGCUUCCGGGUAAUCUGAGCUGGCGAAGACGGACCUCCGGAGUCUGCUUAGUAUCCUGAAGCGUUUGCUCGCCCCAGCCUGGGGACGUGGAGACUGGGAACAAAAGUUCGGGAAGUUGACAGGCAGGUUCUUUCUACCCGCUGGCAGCCUUUCCAGCCCGGGCACCAGACAUGUGAAUGAAGAAGCCAUCUCAGAAGUGGACCCUUCAGCCCCUGCUAUUCCAGAGCCCAGACAUCUGAGGCCCCUUCAGCAGUUCAAGUCAUUUGAGCUGAGGCCCCACACAUGGAUGGAGUGGACAAGAGUUGUCCUUGUGGUCCUUGUGGUGCCCUUUUCCAAAUUCCUCACCCACAGAAUCUGUGGGCAUGGUCAAAUGGUGGUUAUUUUAUGCCAUUAUAUCUUGGGUUUUUUUUGUUCACCACUAGAUAACUAGAACAAAUGGCUGAUAAUUCUUAUCUUGUUAAGAUAAAAGUUUAGUUUUCUGUCACAGAAAAGAAGUUCAGAGUUGGGCAGACCAGGGCUGGUUGGGUGUUUUCACAGCCAGCAGGAAUUUAGAUUCCCUUUAUCCUCUCUGCUGCCUGGAAUGUGGACAUGAUGAGUGGAACUCCAGCAGCUGUGUUGGACCAGAAGGCAAACUUGAAGAUAGCACAAGCAAGAGUUGAAAGGUCUUUGACAAGAAAUAGAGAAAUAAAUGUUCAUCUUCUUUAAGUCACUGUAUUUUUAGAUCUUUUGGUUAGGUAGCAAAAGGAAUGCUAACUGGUAUAGAAUUUGAAUAUAUGAAUCAAGAAUUUAGGAAAUCUGCUUGGUUAGAUCUAAAGGUCUGAGGGUUUUCAAAAUAAAAGUGGUGGCUAAAGUCUUGGGUGUAGACGAGAUAGCCUAAGGAGAGUAUGGAGUAAGAAGAGAGGACUAAAGAGAGAAACUUGGGGGAAUACCAGCAGUUAAUGGAGAGUAGGGCAGGUGAGGCCAGAGAAAGGAGUUGAACAUGGGAAGAAAUUCAGGACAAAAGUUAUCUAGCAAACCUGGCCCCUUUCCUCUCUGGCUGGGUUGGCAGCUCCUAAUGUGUACCCCAUGUGUACACAGCUCAUAUGGAACUUUUUGUAUUGCAAGUCUGUUUCCAUGAAGCCCUCCUACAUGGGACCAGAAGGAAACUCCUUGAAGUGUGGGGUCAAUUGUUAAUCCUUCCCUUUUUAUUGUCCUGGUGCCUACUGCAGUGGUGGGAAGGCAAUAAAUAUUUGAAAGCGGAA